rnacentral:rRNA from 1 species
UUUGAUUUCCUUCGGGACUGAUUAUUUUGUGACUGAGUGGCGGACGGGUGAGUAACGCGUGGGUAACCUGCCUUGUACAGGGGGAUAACAGUUGGAAACGGCUGCUAAUACCGCAUAAGCGCACAGAGCUGCAUGGCUCAGUGUGAAAAACUCCGGUGGUAUAAGAUGGACCCGCGUUGGAUUAGCUAGUUGGUGAGGUAACGGCCCACCAAGGCGACGAUCCAUAGCCGACCUGAGAGGGUGACCGGCCACAUUGGUACUGAGACACGGACCAAACUCC